GGUAGCCUAUGAUGAGUUAACUUGUCAGUAGUCUACACUGUCAGGCCUAAGGAGCCUGUCAUUUACCAUUUGGGGAAACCGAAGAAUAGCAUAUGCAUGCUUGUACACAGCGUCCGAGAGGAUACGAUAUCACAGGAGAAACAGAGUGUCGACUAGAAGAAAGCUCCAGCAAAAGGGAUGGCACACUGAGAGCUUUGAGACCGAGCCACGAGACGAGGAUGGGAGAGAGUGACGGCCAUUUUGAAGGACUGUUCCAAGCGGUGGCAGCUCUUCCUGCGGCUCUCUGUCUCCCUGCUGGCAGACAGGAAGUGGCUCCACACCUGCUGUCCUGCCGGUGCUUUGAUCAACACUCCAGUGAAAAUUCCUCUGUUUCCACAAAACUGAAGACUGAGAAGAAAGAGAUCAAGAGAGAGAAGGAGAGAGACAGAGAAAGAAAGAUGGGAUAGUGGGGGAUGAGAAAGUGGUAGCCUGAAAAAUCUUCAAACGCUCUGCCCUUCAGAUGCCUGUGCUUAAACCAUCCGUGGUGUAAUAGAUGUCACGGCCAAUCUGACAGAACUCCAAACGGCCGUGUCUCUGGCUGAAGGCAGGCUUGAGGCAGUGAAGUGUACACUAGAGCUGUACUCUCAUACUCUCAUGGAGUAACACCACGCUAUGAAGGGAGGAUCUGAUAUCUGUCAUCUCUCAGUCAGACAACAGCUUCUUCCUGAGUAUCCCUCCCUGUCUCUCUCAUCCUCCUUUGUCCCCUCUCUCUCUUUUUUUCUCUUUCUUUCUUUCCCUCUCUCACUCACUCACUCUUUCUCGUUGUCUUUGUCCUUUCUCUGUCCUGAAUACAGCAGUUGCAGGGGACAGUCUGAAAUAACAGUGAUCUUGUGAUGUGGAUAUGCCUAUAUGUCUGCAGGGUUCAAGGUGCUAUAACUUCCAUACAUGCACUUCAGAACUCAGACAUAAUUCAUAACUCACAAUAAAUACAUAAGCCAGAGCA
rnacentral:lncRNA from 1 species